rnacentral:tRNA from 1 species
ACCCUGGUGGUCCAGUGGUUAGGACUCAGGGCUUUCACUGCUGUGGCCUGGGUUCAAUCCCUGGUCAGGGAA